CCAACUCCAGUGUACUCAGGGGUCUUGCCUGCAGAAGCAUUUUGUUUGACCUUUGUAGUGUUUUGUAAAUGUUUGACUAUUUCCCGGGGGCAGGUCUCCAGAGGCCCCACCCAUCUCUGCAUACCCUGCUGGGCUCCUGGUGAGCUUGUGGCCUCUGCUGUGUGUGUGACAACGGUGUAAACACAGCUGUCCUCUGCCACAUGGCGACCGCAGACCUCCAGACCUCUGGAGAAGCGGCCAGAGGGCAUUUGUCAUCAGGAGCAGGGUGACCAAAAGCAUGGGGAGAGAAAUAAGGCUGCAAGCCUUGGAGCCCUCUGGGAAUGCCUGGUGGGGCUCUGCAGGUGAUGGGACUUUAAACCACAAGCCUCCUAUUCUCGGAAGACAGACAAAUGGACUCCGAAAGCAAUUUCAAAACAGCCUAGAAAUGUUCCAGUGGUAACUCGUGACAGCAGGUCACUUAAGGGGAAUCACCCUGUGUUUCUGCAGCUCCAUCUGGCCCCCGACCCCCAGCCUGGAGCAUGCCUGCAGCAGAUCCCGCCGGCUUCCAGUGACUCGGGUCCCAGACCAGCUGAGCUGUCAGCUGUGAUCUCCAUCUCGGUUUCAUCUCCAAUCAGUCCAAACCCUUCAUUCCCUCCAGCUCAGCCCUGCUCAGGUCUGCUAAUCUGCGAGGGGGAAGGGGGUGCAGAUCUGUAAUUCCUCUCCUCCCUUUUCUUCUUCUUCCUGGAUUCUGGUUCUUCCAGGACCCAGGCUGGGAAAAACGUGGGGAGCUCUGCCCCCCGGGCGGUGCCAUUGCAGGAUCAGAGUCUGUGGAAUGCCCUCUUGUCACAAGGAAGCUGGCUCACUGGGUCUCUGUCCCUCUCCUUCAUGAACGCUCCUGUGCAGUGUCCCCUGUGCCAGCCGUGCGCCCUCACGUCACCCGUCUCCAUGUCUCCUUGUGGUCUCCCUGCCCAGCAGAGGCCUUCCCUUCAGGCCCCUCCACCAAAGCUCGGGGUAGCCCACGGCGGGCUUGGUUGGCAGUGUGUCACGGGGUCAGCCUGGGCUCCAUGCUUCCUCUACUAGUCUGAGAACAGCCAGAAACAGCUGUGCAUGAGCUCCCACCUCCCACCGUCGCCUGUCCCGCACAUCUGCAGGCUAACCACACGCUCCCACGGGCCUCAUUGCUGGAGUACGUGCAGCUCUUCUGAUACAAGGAUCUCCCCUUGGGUGGGAGUGGGGGGCAGGGGCGGACCCGAGCAGGGUUGAUGUGUGGCCUGCAGGCAUAUCCCAGAUCUGGGCUCUUCUGGUUCCUCCCAGCUGGGGAACAGCUGCCCUUCAGACACGUAGGGUGAGGUUCCAUGGCUGUCUCUGUAGGAAUGAGAGAUUACACAUGAGAAUUUCGUUUUCACUCCUUGAAAAGAGCUUUUGCAAGCGCGUGGACCUUGUACUCUGGCCUCUCCUGAGCACAUGGGGCGCGAAGGUGCCCCUUUCCACCUGCGGGCCAUAACGUGCCUCAAUACAUCUCGGAGAGACGCACCUUCCCAACCCUCUAUCUCUGGGCUUUAAUAUGGCUGCGUAGUUCUUCAUGAAUUUGGCAUAUCUAUUUGUGUUUCAAUGGUUAGUGUCUGGACUUUUGUGUGUUCUUGCUGUUGUUUUUAAAGGAAACGCUCAUGCUUCUCUGUGGUUACUUUAUCGUGGGUAUAGUUCAUCCUUCCUGUCACUAGCCGGAAACAGCUCAGAAAAAUAGGAUGCUUCCCUCUUUUUCUUCACACUAUAUUCAAAGGACCACCCGACCUUACUUGAUUAGGCUUAAGUGCGAAAGCUGGAGAAGAGAGGUUUCUUUCCUGUGAACUCUAAGUCAGGAUUUUUGCUCCAAACCACACAGGAAAGACCUAAACUGCAUCGCCAGCAGUAUCGCCCCAGAUGCCUCAGUCACAGAGGGCACAGGGGAGUGGUUCUCCUCGGUUCACAUUUUCUGCUGAACAACCAAACCAAGCAGAUGCUUAGCCGCCAGGGUGGUGCGUGCAUAACUGAUGGGCCUUAAAAUAAAGGCAGACUGGCUUUGUCCUAACAAACCAAGCAAUUUCUCCAGGAAAAGUUCUGUUUACAACAGAGGAAGAUCAACUGGAAUUGAUGGGCGUGAACAGUGGGCCACGAUGGGCGAGGCUCGUGCUUGAAUUCAGCCCUGGCAGCCUGUCAGGCCAAAUCAGCCCCUUGAGUCCUUUCCUUGAAGAGUCUUGUGUCUUGGACACGCGGAGGCCUCAAAGAGCCACACCCAUAGCAGGUCCGACCGAGAGCUGGCCGAGGGAACAGUGAAGCAAUGCAUCUGCAGACCCUGGGCAGUUGGAUGUGACGAGCAGAUGUGGCCUUCCCAAGGCCAGACCUGCGCGGUCGUGCCACAGAUGGAACCAUGGCGCCCGCGGCCCCUGCACAGCCAGUCCCCAAGCCCUGCUCCGGGGAGCAGACAGCGGUGUGCAUGUGCACGCCUGUGCCGUUUGGGGUUUUCCGAAAUCCUUGUCUCCUGCUGGUGGGCGGAGCUAGACGCUCCGUGUGCUCCCAUGUGGUGACCACAAAACUCCUCCAGUUUUUAUGAGCAAGAUUCCCCUCGAUAAUGUGCCACGUAGCCGGUUCUCCAUCUACACUGUUCUGUCUUCUCUUCCAGACUGGAGAGCUGCUCUCAUGUUUGAACCCUGCUUGGUUCUGGUGACCUUCAUAGUGUUUCCUUUUGUAUAGAUUUUAUUUAUUUAUUUGAUAGAGUGAGUGAGAGAGAACACGAGCAGGGGACAGGGGCAGAGGGAGAAACAGGCUCCCCGUGGAGCAGGGAGCCCGAUGCGGGACUCGAUCCUGGGACCCUGAGAUCAUAACCUGCGCUGAAGGCAGAUGCUUCGCCGACUGAGCCCCCCAGGCGCCCGUCCUUUUGUAUGGGUUUAAAUAGGUAGACAUCUGCGUGCAGGAGCGUCUGUGCCUCUUACUCAAGCCUGGCUGCUGGGAACGGCCUAGAGUUUUAGGUUUAUAUGGAGCCUGGUAAGAGCUCCUCGUCACAGGGGACCCCAUCCAGGGCUGCAGUGAAACCCCACCCCACACACCAUGUUUCUUUCUUUCUGAUGUCAGUGGGUGAAAUGCUUCCUCAGCUGUGACGGACAUUUGUCUCUACUGGAUGCUACAUGGGAAACUGCACUUACGGGUUUGGUAAGGUCGAUAGUUUGGGCCUGUCUUGCUCCAGCAUCCUGUUGCUCUGGAAACAAAAGGCACGAGACAGUGUCUAGCCAGCACGGGGAUGAGAGUGCGGUCUGCAGUCAGGCACAGCCGGGUUCAGCCAUGCUCUGUGCGAGUCUGGUUGUGCAGUGUGGGCAAGGCCUCUGCCUCCUGUGCUCCGUGUCCCCGUCCAUAACUGGGAUCCUUCGAGGAAUCGGGGUGCAGGUUAAAUGAAAGAAUACACGUGAGGUGCUUCGCACAAUUCCCGGCACACGAUAAUAAAUAAAUAAAUGUAAGCCUUACUCGGUGUCGGUUCUGAACAUGUGUCAAGUCCGUGAUUAAAUCAUGGUUACGUGUGGCUAGUCAACUUGAAAAAACAAAAGACCAAAUCUAUUAGCAUGUUCUGCUCAUGGUCAUGCACAAGAAAUCCACUUAUUAGUCAAAAGGAAUCCAGAGUUUUAGUGUUUCCCCGGCAACAGAACAACAAACACUGACCCAGAAACGGGAAAAGUCAGAAAUAAAAUUGUCCUUUAAAGGCAUCUCUGAUUGCCUCGUGCAGGGGCAGGGAGCCAAUGUCAUCCUCCCAGGGAGCUCGGCCUGGCCCACCUGCCCUCCGCGCUCGCACUUCUCGCGCACCCUCCAUGGCUGCAGGGUUCACGUACCUGCAGCUUCUUCCGCCACGUUGUCUUCGGGGUCCUGCCCGUCCCCUUGUGCACCUGGAACGGGAUCAGGCAAAAACAGGCGCCCAGUGAAUGCAUGGACAGAGUUGAGUGGGGUUGGCUGUUGGCCUGUGAUACUGGUCCUUCAAAUGCCCAACUGACACCGACUUUCCUGCAGACAGCUCGUCACCGAACGUUACAACGAGAAAAAGUAAGGAAAAAUUAGAAAUGAGAGGAAGCUAUGCCACUUCGGUGUGACAUGUGAGCGGACGUUUUGUAAUGUUCUCUCGGCCGUCUGGAAGCACCUCAGUAUCUGGUGUAAGAAUUAGCAUUUUAUACGGAAUCCAGAUUUUCCCCUAAAUUAAAAUAAUAAAAUACUCUACUUUGGGGUUAAAAA